GAAGCCAGAUUCCUCCCCCAAAACCCCCAGAACCCUAAGCCCCCGUUGUGCGUGUCACCGGCUAUGGCGCUGUACUCUCUCCGUCUCCGCCGAACCCUAACCUCCCUCUCCACCCUCCACCGCACUGCUCUCUGUCUGCAGUUCCUGCAAUCCCUGCAAUCUCCACUCCGCUUCCCCAGGGCCUCACGUCCACGUCCACGCCGUCGCACCCCUGGGCUCUCCUUGUCCAAUCCCGGCCGUUCAGAUUGACGACCGUCGCGCUCUUCUCGUACCACCAGGACACCAUGCUGCACGAAGGUUGCGAUUAUAAUGACUGGGUAAUCGUUAUGUCCUUCCCUGAAGACAACAAGCGCACCCCCGAGCAAAUGGUCCAGACCUACGAGGAGACCUGUGCUAAGGGCCUCAAUAUCAGGUCUCUCUCUAUCGGACACACACUCACUCCUCGCUCUUAACCUCUGUUUGGUGUCUCUGGAAAUUGGGGGGAAAAGUGUGGAGGAGGCAAAAAAGAGAAUAUAUGCUUGUAGUACAACAAGAUAUGAGGGCUUUUAGGCUGCCAUUUCAGAAGAAGAAGCAAACAAAUAUGAGGGUUUACCUGGAGUUACUUCUGUGGUUCCAGAUUUUUACGUAGAUCCCAUUAACAAGGAGUAUGGAGGAGAUAAAUACAUUAAUGGAACAAUUAUAGCAAGGCUACCCCCUGUUGAAUAUUGGAAGCAGGGAAUGAAGCCUCCUUUCCGAUAUGGCCAGGAAGGUCCUACAAUUCAGCAGUAUAGAUCCUCAAAUGGCUUACUGGUGUCAAGAGAUGGUGCUUCAUAAAACUACCCAUCACUACAAAAUGACUUCUAAUGAUAGUCAAACCCCCUAAUUGGGCUUUAUGUUGUAGUUCCUGUCACAUUUCAUUGCACAUCCACAUCCCUUGGGAUUUAGGGCAGAAAAGAAGCAAGUUAAGCAACUAAAGGUACCUUCAGCUUUUCUUCCAAGCAAAUGGAUGGGGUAGAUAACACAAAUGAUAAAAGGUAUUUUAUCAAACACUUGGUGUUUAUGAAAAUUUUUGAGUGUAAUGGAUGAUGGGUGGGUUUCAAUCUCACUAUAACUACAACACACGGCUCAACAUCCAAAUUUACUUGCAGUGUGGAUUUGAUGGAAAGUUCAAGGCUUUCAAA